GGGGUUUUUGAAAUGGAGCCUCGGAUGAACGGCGUAACCUUCUUCAACUGUCUCCCCUCCCACCCCUCUAAAUUCUUUUCUGAGUGAAGAAACCCAGAUAAGCCAGAAAGACGAGAAGACCCUGUCGAGCUUUAACCAUUAGGUGAACUUAAACCCCUUUUAGACAUCACCCAAAGGUUUUGGUUGGCGGCAACCAUGGAGAAAAUAAACCCUCCAGAGCAAAUAGAAGAAAGUAAUUCACUAUUACUCCUAACUGAGAACCAGGAACUGGUAUUCAGAAAAAGUUACCGCAGGGGUAACAGCGUAAUCCCCUCUAAGAGUCC
rnacentral:rRNA from 1 species